rnacentral:lncRNA from 1 species
GGUCGCCGCGGCAGCCAGUGAUGCCCGAGCGGCGGGUUCCCAGGCCCAGGUGUGGGCGCCACCGCCCACCAUGCGCCAAGCCCAGAGCCUGGUUGAAUCGUUCGCCACCUUGUCUACCCAUUUUGGCCAUUAUCCUGCCACCUCCAAAUCCUGUUUUUGACACUUCUCGGGAGAGAGAGAAAACGGAAAGAUAAAGGAAUAAACUCCUCGUGGUCGUAGUUAGUGGGUAAAUUCAGAUCUCGUUUGAACCGAGGUUUUUCUUAUCUCCAGCCACCGUAUCCACCACCACCAGAAUCGUCUUUUUAGUCAUCACAGCUGGUCGCCGUCAGUACCUUGUUCAGAAGCCUCUCGCAGCUUCCAUCGUGUGGUUAUACAAUCCAAAUUCCUUAUAAAGUCCAAAUUCAAGAGGAGGAAUGCACGUUUAGUUAAGUUAAUGUCUAGACCUUACCAGCCAAUUUCUAGCUCCUCAGUAUGGAAAUUGCAACUGAAAACACCCCUUCCAAAAAAAGCAGUCUGCAUUUUUCUCUGAGUUUUCUUCUCCAAAUUUCGCACCCCUGACCUUGCUUACACACUCUGGAUACCACCUGCUGUGGAGUGGCGGAAGCAGACAUCCAGCGAUAGCUAAGUUUCCUGUCGUUGACACCCAAGCAAGACAGGCGUGUACCUAACUGAGGACCUGCCGGUGAUAGAAGUCUCAGCUUUUCUCAGAGACAGAUGAGUCUUCCCUUUAAAUGCUGCAAAGUGCUGCAUAGUAGAUGUUAAAUGAAAGUCAGAAAGAAUCAAAUGUGCUGCAAAUAAUUGAAGUUCAACCCAAUGGAAAUAGAUUAAAAGAGUGAAAGUCACUGGUCUCAAAGAAUCUACGGAAUUCAGCAUUUUGGAAAUCACAUAGCAAUUUUGGGUAGGUAUUCACAUGCACUAAAAAACCAGGCAAACAUCCGACUCCCAGGAUAAAGUGACUGAGAGCAGUAGAAGACUUGUUGAGCCGUAAGGAAUAAGAGGAAAAUUAUGUUAUGAAGUGCAGGAACAGCACAGACCCAGACGAGGGGAUGCAGCCCAGAGCCAGUAACCCGGUGCCUCCUCCUCCCCAGGAAGCAGCGCUGGCUGAUCCCCAGAUACCAUGAUCACACCGUCCCAGGUCCUGAGAGCGCCUCAUAGGUAGACAGUUCUUUGGGACUUUUGGGACGCAGCACUUGAAGAGAGGUCUACCUAAACUUUCCUCCUGGGAGCCUGUGAUCAUUUGAAAGUAACAGAAGAAAGUUGUCAGGCUGAGGAAAGUUUCAACAGGCACUUGGUGAGAAUGGGAAGCAUCCAUUCAUUGCGAAAUCGCGGGGACAGAGGAGGAAUUCACGGGAUCAGAGCACUGAGAAACUCCAGAGGCUUCUGGUUCACCGCCCUGAUUCCACAGAUGUGGGUCAGAGGCAGAGAUGGAAGUUGGAAUGGACAAGCCUGCCCUCUCAUCGGCUCUCCAUGGCUCUGUCCUCAGGCUGUUUCUGCAAUUUGACAUGAGGCCUGGCCCCAGGGAAACCAGUGGGGCCUCAUCUCCUCCCUGUGCUGCUCUGAGAUGGAGUCUUCUCAGGGUCAGUCCAGCUCUGGAGCCCCUCUCCAGCUCGGUCACCAAAGCUGUCUGGUCCCAGGGCGGUGCUGAGUGACAGGCACACCAGCCAGUCCAAUUGGCCAUUUCAUACCCAAUGCAUGUGACUGAUAAAGAGAUAACACCCUGUCUCCAAGACACAGGCUUUACAUAAACAGCUUUAAUGACCUCUUCACCUAGAGACAAGACUCCUUAGUGGUGGAACCUCAGGCAUCCGUGCAGGAUGUAAGAAAGCUCCCGUAUAUACAUGAACUGAGAAGUGUGUAGAAGAAUAAAUACUGUAAUAGGUAAUAAAAUGUAUGUAUUUUUAUUUAUAUGCUA